CAGUCGCCGCGGUAAUACGGAGGGGGCUAGCGUUGUUCGGAAUUAUUGGGCGUAAAGGGUGCGUAGGCGGUUUGACAAGUCUUGUGUGAAAUCUCUGGGCUCAACCCAGAGUCUGCACGGGAAACUGUCGGGCUAGAGGAUGGGAGAGGUGAGUGGAAUUUCCGGUGUAGCGGUGAAAUGCGUAGAUAUCGGAAGGAACACCUGUGGCGAAAGCGGCUCACUGGACCAUUUCUGACGCUGAUGCACGAAAGCUAGGGGAGCAAACAGGAUUAGAUACCCCCGUAGUCCCUGUCUCUUAUAA
rnacentral:rRNA from 1 species